UGGGGGUUCGGCUAAUCGGCAGGCCACCGAGCUUUGACCUCGGCUGUGCAGGUUCGAGCCCUGCACCCCCAG
rnacentral:tRNA from 1 species